GGAUGAACGCUGGCGGCGUGCCUAAUACAUGCAAGUCGAGCGAACAGACGAGGAGCUUGCUCCUCUGACGUUAGCGGCGGACGGGUGAGUAACACGUGGAUAACCUACCUAUAAGACUGGAUAACUUCGGGAAACCGGAGCUAAUACCGGAUAAUAUAUUGAACCGCAUGGUUCAAUAGUGAAAGACGGUUUUGCUGUCACUUAUAGAUGGAUCCGCGCCGCAUUAGCUAGUUGGUAAGGUAACGGCUUACCAAGGCAACGAUGCGUAGCCGACCUGAGAGGGUGAUCGGCCACACUGGAACUGAGACACGGUCCAGACUCCUACGGGAGGCAGCAGUAGGGAAUCUUCCGCAAUGGGCGAAAGCUUGACGGAGCAACGCCGCGUGAGUGAUGAAGGUCUUCGGAUCGUAAAACUCUGUUAUUAGGGAAGAACAAAUGUGUAAGUAACUAUGCACGUCUUGACGGUACCUAAUCAGAAAGCCACGGCUAACUACGUG
rnacentral:rRNA from 1 species